GUUUCUGCGGGUGGUGGUUGCAUCUGAUGGAGGUUAAGGAAGGAAGAUCAGAUGGACAAACAUAUCGCAUCAGGCAGGAGGGAGGAGGGGGAACGGGUGGGACUUGAACUUUAGUCAUUGAACUCAAGUUUCCAGCACUCUUAUAUAAGAGAUUUGACCGGAGCUGUUUGAGAAAUUAUUUUUAAAACUGCUGAAAAUACAGGAAGUGGGGAAGCUGAAUUUCAAUAGGUUUUCUAAAAAAUACAGAAGUUGCAGGAGCUUAAUUGGAUUUUAAAAAGUACAGAAAUAACAAAACCUGAGAUGAAUAAAAAGAGGUUUAAAAUUGUAGUAAUAUUAGUAGUAUUAGUUAUAGUUGUAAUUGUGGUAUUAGUUGUACUAGCAGUAGAAGCAGCAAUAGUAGGUUUAGUAUCAAUAGCAGUAGAAACAGUUGUAAUACUAACACUAUUAGCCAUAGUAGUAUUUGUAAUAACAUUAGUAGUAGUUGUAGUAUUAAUAGCAGUAGAACUACUAGUAGUAUGGUAGUAGAAGUAUCAGUUGUAGUACUAGUAAUAUUCGUAGUGGUUGUAGUAUUUGAAAGAGCAAUACGUAUUGUCUGUCUAUUUCUCCUCCCCUCUCUCUCCCUCUAUCUCAUCCUCACCACCCCUCCCUUCCUCACCCUCUCACCCUCCCUCCCUCUAUCUACACCCCCCCCACCCCACCCAAUCCAAUAGGUAUGCCGUUGCCGUGGAAACUCACACACACACGCUGCAGUAUCUCUGUGACUCACAGCGGCUCCUAUGACCUGAUUAGUGGAGUCACAUGACGCAGCUAUGCUUUCUGUCAACAGACCAAUAUGAUAAAGACACUCGCCCCCCCUCCCCCCUCCACCCUGACCUCUACUCACUGUUAAUCACUCACUCAGUCAGUCUGUCUAUUUCUCCUCCUCUCUCUCUCUCCCUCUAUCUCUUCAUUACCACCCCUCCCUUCCUCACCCUCUCACCCUCCCUCCGUCUAUCUACACCCCCCUACACCACCCAAUCCAAUAAUUUUAAAAUAAAAGCCCCAUGGAGGGAAUUUUUACUGUAAUGUUUGUGAUUAGGCCUAUUAAUUAAAAACGUCAUAGUUUGAAUAACAAACAUUCUGUCUCCCAACCCCCCGUCACCCAAUUCCAUCAUUACAAAAUAAAAGCCUCAAUGAUUAUCUGUACCUUAACCAUGAAGCUCAGAAUGAAGCGGUUUCGUUGCUCUUUCAAUUACUACUACAACCACUAUGAAUAUUACUAGUACUUCUAGUAGUACUACUACAACUGAUACUUCUACCAUACUACUACUGUUUCUACUGCUAUUGAUACUAAACCUACUAUUACUUCUUCUACUGCUAGAACUACGAAUACCACAAAUUAAAACUGUAACUAAUAACACUACUAAUAUUACUACAAACAAUUUAAAACCUCUUUUUAUUCAUUUUAGGUUUUGUUAUUUCUGUCCUUUUUAAAAUUCAUUUAAGCUCCUGCAACUUCUGUAUUUUAUAGAAAAUCUAUUGAAAUUCAUCUUCCACACUUCCUGUAUUUUCAGCAUUUCUUUAAAAUAAUUUCAGCUUUUCUAAUGACUGUAUUAACAGCAAGGUUUUAAUAUUCAUUUCGGUAUUUAUUUUGCAAUAUCUCACAUUCAUUUCAGCUGUUUUCAUUUCUACUUUUUCAGUAAAUCUAUUGAAAUUCCUUUCAUCUUCUCCCAUUUCUGUAUUUUCAGCAAUUUCAAAUUAAUUUCAUCUUUUCUAAUAUCUGUAAUUUCAGUAGAUGUAUUCAAAUUCCCUUCAACUUUCUGUAUUUUCAGCUAUUUUUAAAUAUUCAUUUCAGCUUUCAGCUUUUUGCAUUCCAACGCAUUUUCAGCAGGAAAUGCAUUUUCUAGUUAAAUUAUACAUUUAUGUAAAAUGUAAGAGCUCAAAAGAUUACGGCAAUUCAUUUGAUGAUCAUACCGUUUAAUGUCUUUCCAAUUUUAAUCUUCAGACUUUCAGUAUUUCUUUACCUUAUUUGAUAAUGUUGUAAUAUAAUAAUGUGAGUAUUUAUGACAUUUGAUGACAGUUUCCAGUCAUUUAUAAACCAAAAAGUAAACCCCUUUAAUGAGAAAAUAAUUGUGUUGAAUCAUAACCGCUGGUUACAUCUUAAAUAAAAGGAAGCACACUGAAUUAGUUUUCCUCAUAACAGCAUCAUAAGAGAAUGCAAAGUAAUUUAGCUUUAAAGGGAUAUUUUAUAUUUCUUCAGGAGGGGUUGUGUUACCAAUAAAGGUUGCGAUAUAUGUUUAGAUUUCAGACAUGAAUGAGGUUACAUUUUUUUAAAUAAACUGUGUACUAUACAUACAAGCAUUCAACUGCUGACAUAUCUGUGUCAUAAAAUACAGUACAGCUCAUACAAUGCUUGAAGGAGUUUUGUCUGUUCUGCCACGUUGGUUUUUAACAGGAUUGCCAACAACUGCAGCAAAUGCUAAUGUCUACCUGCUGAUUUUAUCCUAUUCUCAUCAUAAUGAACACAGUGUGUGGAGACGGCGAGACAAAUGAUGAGCUCCGCUGCUAAACACAACACGUCUCAGGGAGAGACACAACAUAUCAAGCCAACAUGUUGGGCAACCCCAUUAGUGAAUGAAUAACUCAUUUAGACACUGAAUGAUCAGAACAAUUUAUUGACCUGACGGGGUUAAAAAACAAAUAAACAGAAUGUUGGUGAGAAGCCAUGAUUCCAUUAACAUGCAGGAGUCGAUACACGCAUGCAAGACAACUGGG
ensembl:lncRNA